rnacentral:rRNA from 1 species
UACGUAGGGUGCAAGCGUUGUCCGGAAUUAUUGGGCGUAAAGAGCUCGUAGGCGGUCUGUCGCGUCGGAUGUGAAAAACCCAGGGCUCAACCCUGGGCCUGCAUUCGAUACGGGCAGACUAGAGUUCGGUAGGGGAGACUGGAAUUCCUGGUGUAGCGGUGAAAUGCGCAGAUAUCAGGAGGAACACCGAUGGCGAAGGCAGGUCUCUGGGCAUUAACUGACGCUGAGGAGCGAAAGCAUGGGGAGCGAACAGG